rnacentral:rRNA from 1 species
UACGGAGGGGGCUAGCGUUGUUCGGAAUUACUGGGCGUAAAGCGCACGUAGGCGGCUUUGCAAGUUAGAGGUGAAAGCCCGGGGCUCAACCCCGGAAUUGCCUUUAAAACUGCAUCGCUAGAAUUGUGGAGAGGUAAGUGGAAUUCCGAGUGUAGAGGUGAAAUUCGUAGAUAUUCGGAAGAACACCAGUGGCGAAGGCGGGCAUCUGGGCUAACACUGACGCUGAGGCGCGAAAGCUAGGGGAGCAAACAGG